ensembl:lincRNA Gm15767 predicted gene 15767
UGAGAAGAGACUGUUGAGUUCCUAGCCUCGUAAGAUCGCUCUGUCAUCCCCUUUCAAGGCUGAAGGACUAUCACGGAAAAGAGGGUGGAAAGAACAUAAGAGCUAGAGGAAGAAGCUGUAUUCUGAGUAUGCUGUGUCCACAUCAUCGAGUGGGGAGUGACUGGAAUGAAGCUCUCCAUGACAGGGAAGGAAGCCAUACUAUAAAGGCUCCCACAGCACAGAAGGAAAGAAUGGAAAGUUCUGGGGCCAUCAGGAUCUCCCUUCUCUUCCAGAUCAGUUACCAGUUACCCUCAGGCAACAUACUUGUGCUAAAGGAAAGCCAUGAAGAAAAGCAGCCUUCCUUAGAGAAGAAUCAGUGUUCUCUGAUGUGAUUGGGAACUGCUCCUUAAUGGACGUGCCUACCCCACUGCAUAUGCUGUGACUCACCUCUCCCUGAGGAUUGUUCCCUACUGGGCAUGUUCCCAUCCAGCCCUCCAGGCUGGCUUUGCAUUGGUUUUCCCCACAGGUGUUCUCUUGCACUGUUAACUGCUGGCUGUUCCCCUAU